AAUUAUCGCAAAAGUAGGUAUAAAAACAUUAGUUAUGCUCAACACAAAUAAUUAUUAAUUUUUAUUUUAUUGGUUAUUGUAAAAUACCAAACAAAACAUGAAUUCUAAGGCAAUAUCGAUGAUUUUUCUAGUUUUUUUCCUGCAUUGUUACGAAGGGAGCAAAACUUUUCAAGAAAGCAGACAAAGUACUAGCGACAAACAUGAUCAACUGAUUGAAACAAACAAUGCUGCUUCUCCAUCCUUUAGAUGUCCAGCUUUUUGUAAUAAAACAAAUGAACGGAAACCAUCUGAAAAAGGAACACCUUAUAAAUUUACUUUGCAAGUAUGCAUGAAGUGCAAGAGAGAAAGGAGAAAACGCCAGUAUGAAUAUUGAGAUUAUAAUUUUUUGUCGAAAUGUUUAUCCUAGAAUUUAUAGUUAGUAACCAAGGAAUUCUAGAUGCAACUCGCUGUGUACUGGAGUGCCGAAGACUGAAUUUUGCAGAAGAUGCCGUUAUGAUUAUAUAAAUAAAAAAGAUAAAGAAAUAAUAUGAUUUUACAAAAAAUAUGAUUUUAUAAAUACAAGAUUAUUUUACUACAAAUUUUAUUGGAUGUGAAUAAAACUUUCCAUAUGAAUCUUUAA